rnacentral:rRNA from 1 species
GGGGAAUAAGAAGAGGCGUAGAUGGGGCCCCACGAUGAUCUUUGGGUCCUUGAGAGGGAGACCCCCCAGACUGAGCGGACCAGACUCACGGGGCAGCAGUGAGGAAUAUUGGACAAUGGGUGGAAGCGAUCCAGCCAUCCCGCGUGAAGGAUGACGGCAUGGAUUGUAAAUUCUUUUGUACAGGGAUAAACCUGCCCUCGUGAGGGCAGCUGAAGGUACUGUACGAAUAAGCACCGGCUAACUCCGUGCCAGCAGCCGCGGUAAUACGGAGGGUGCGAGCGUUAUCCGGAUUUAUUGGGUUUAAAGGGUCCGUAGGCGGGCCUGUAAGUCAGUGGUGAAAUCUCAUAGCUUAACUAUGAAACUGCCAUUGAUACUGCAGGCCUUGAGUAAAUUUGAAGUGGCUGGAAUAAGUAGUGUAGCGGUGAAAUGCAUAGAUAUUACUUAGAACACCGAUUGCGAAGGCAGGUCACUAAGAUUUAACUGACGCUGAUGGACGAAAGCGUGGGGAGCGAACAGGAUUAGAUACCCUGGUAGUCCACGCCGUAAACGAUGCUAACUCGUUUUUGGAUCUUCGGGUUCAGAGACCAAGCGAAAGUGAUAAGUUAGCCACCUGGGGAGUACGUCCGCAAGGAUGAAACUCAAAGGAAUUGACGGGGGCCCGCACAAGCGGUGGAUUAUGUGGUUUAAUUCGAUGAUACGCGAGGAACCUUACCAAGACUUAAAUGGGAAUUGACAGAUUUAGAAAUAGAUCCUCCUUCGGGCAAUUUUCAAGGUGCUGCAUGGUUGUCGUCAGCUCGUGCCGUGAGGUGUUAGGUUAAGUCCUGCAACGAGCGCAACCCCUGCCAACAGUUGCCAUCAUUCAGUUGGGGACUCUGUUGGGACUGCCUACGCAAGUAGAGAGGAAGGUGGGGAUGACGUCAAAUCAUCACGGCCCUUACGUCUUGGGCCACACACGUAAUACAAUGGCCGGUACAGAGGGCAGCUACCUGGUGACAGGAUGCGAAUCUCGAAAGCCGGUCUCAGUUCGGAUUGGAGUCUGCAACUCGACUCUAUGAAGCUGGAAUCGCUAGUAAUCGCGUGCCUGCUGCAAUAG